rnacentral:rRNA from 1 species
UGGGGAAUAUUGCGCAAUGGGCGGAAGCCUGACGCAGCGACGCCGCGUGGGGGAUGACGGCCUUCGGGUUGUAAACCCCUUUCGCUAGGGACGAAGCUUUAUUGUGACGGUACCUGGAUAAGAAGCACCGGCCAACUACGUGCCAGCAGCCGCGGUAAUACGGGGGGUGCAAGCGUUGUCCGGAAUCAUUGGGCGUAAAGCGUUCGUAGGCGGUAUAUCAAGUCUGGUGUUAAAGCCCGGGGCUCAACUCCGGUUCAGCAUCGGAUACUGGUAAACUAGAAUGCGGUAGAGGUAAGGGGAAUUCCUGGUGUAGCGGUGAAAUGCGUAGAUAUCAGGAGGAACAUCGGUGGCGAAAGCGCCUUACUGGGCCGUUAUUGACGCUGAGGAACGAAAGCCGGGGGAGCAAAU